rnacentral:rRNA from 1 species
GAUGAACGCUGGCGGCGUGCCUAAUACAUGCGAGUCGAGCGAACGGACGAGAAGCUUGCUUCUCUGAUGUUAGCGGCGGACGGGUGAGUAACACGUGGAUCACCUACCUAUCAGUCUGGGAUAACUUCGGGAAACCGUAGCUUAUCCCGGAUAAUAUUUUGAACCGCAUGGUUCAAAAGUGAAAGACGGUCUUGCUGUCACUUCUAGAUGGAUCCGGGCUGCAUUAGCUAGUUGGUAAGGUAACGGCCUAUGAAGGCAACGAUGCAUAGCCGACCUGAGAGGGGGAUAGGCCACAUUGGAAGUGAGACACGGACCAGACGCCUACGGGAGGCAGCAGUAGGGUACCGUACGCAGUGGUCGAGAGCCUUACGGAGCAAGCGGGAGUGAGUUAUGACGGUGUCCGGAGCGUAAAACUCGGUUAUGAGGGAAGAACAGAUGUGGAAGGAAAUGAGGAGAGCGUGACGGUAACGAAUAAGAAAGCAACGGCUAACUACGUG